UACGAAGGGGACUAGCGUUGUUCGGAAUCACUGGGCGUAAAGCGCACGUAGGCGGAUUUGUAAGUCAGGGGUGAAAUCCCGGGGCUCAACCUCGGAACUGCCUUUGAUACUGCAAGUCUUGAGUCCGAUAGAGGUGGGUGGAAUUCCUAGUGUAGAGGUGAAAUUCGUAGAUAUUAGGAAGAACACCGGUGGCGAAGGCGGCCCACUGGAUCGGUACUGACGCUGAGGUGCGAAAGCGUGGGGAGCAAACAGG
rnacentral:rRNA from 2 species